AUCAUUGUCACUCUUCUGGGCUUCAUCUGGGUUUUCCUCAGGAUUUGUCAAAAUGUUCAUCAACAGUUUCAACUGUGAUGUGUAAGUCAUCUAGGCCAUGAAAAUUCCUCAACCUUUAUCCUUAGAAGAUGUUGUUAUGUGAACUGAAAGGUAAGGAAUCUCUUGACAUCGAGGAGUAACCUUGAGAGGCAUCCCUACACAAGGAGAAGAUUCUGGCAUGCAGCCUGCUGCAGUAAAGGACUGCUCAAUGAGCUCUGGGCUGUCCCCUAUUUAUGGGUCUCUGACUGGCACUGUCCUGCUGAGACCACUCACACCAGUCUCCUGCUCUGCAGAAGGUGGCAGCAGUACCUACUUGUGUGAUAAUCCCUACUAUGAACCAACUGGACAGGGAAGCACUGAUAAACAAGACAAGCUCCACCAUAUGGCAUCAAAUACAUUACUCCUCAAAACUGAAUCAAUAUGCUGACUGUGAGACUCCUGUGGUCAUAACUCCAUCUCUGGUGUCCUCCUGAGUUUGUGAACAGCUCUGCACUAUUGCAGCUGUUUGAGUUGGCUGGCUCCAUUAUCUUCUCUAUGCUGUCACAGCAGACUGUCCUUGCAAGAGUGUUCAGAUAACUGUCUCCAUCCUAAGAGUUUUAUUGGCAAGAAGGAUGCACAGGAAACCUGAAUAAUUCAUAAGAAAAGCUUCCAAAAAUAUGUUGCUUGGUUUGGGUCUACCCCCAGAAAUCAAAAUACUUUUUAAAGUGAAGAAAUAAAAAAGUUUUCUUGGAAAUGUUUCUGUAGUAC
rnacentral:lncRNA from 1 species